UACAGAGGUCUCAAGCGUUGUUCGGAUUCAUUGGGCGUAAAGGGUGCGUAGGUGGCGCUGUAAGUCGGGUGUGAAAUUUCGGAGCUUAACUCCGAAACUGCAUUCGAUACUGCGGUGCUUGAGGACUGGAGAGGAGACUGGAAUUCAUGGUGUAGCAGUGAAAUGCGUAGAGAUCAUGAGGAAGACCAGUGGCGAAGGCGGGUCACUGGCUCGAUACUGACGCUGAGGUGCGAAAGCGUGGGGAGCAAACAGG
rnacentral:rRNA from 1 species